AUUGAACGCUGGCGGCAGGCCUAACACAUGCAAGUCGGACGAGCGGCGGACGGGUGAGUAAUGUAUGGGGAUCUGCCUGAUGUAGGGGGAUAACUACUGGAAACUGUAGCUAAUACCGCAUACCAUCAGAUGAACCCAUAUGGUAUUAGCUUGUAGGUGAGGUAACGGCUCACCUAGGCGACGAUCCCUAGCUGGUCUGCGAGGAUGAUCAGCCACACUGGGACUGAGACAAGGCCCAGACUCCUAUGGGAGGCAUCAGUGGGGAAUAUUGCACAAUGGGCACAAGCCUGAUGCAGCCAUGCCGCGUGUAUGAAGAAGGCCUUCGGGUUGUAAAGUACUUUCAGUCGGGAGGCGUUACCGACAGAAGAAGCACCGGCUAACUCCGUGCCAGCAGCCGCGGUAAUAC
rnacentral:rRNA from 1 species